rnacentral:rRNA from 1 species
GUGCCAGCCGCCGCGGUAAUACGGGGGGGGCUAGCGUUGUUCGGAAUUACUGGGCGUAAAGGGCGCGUAGGCGGUAUGGGAAGUCAUGGGUGAAAGUCCUCGGCUCAACCGAGGGAUUGCCUGUGAAACCACCAUACUGGAGUGCUGGAGAGGGAAGUGGAAUUCCCAGUGUAGCGGUGAAAUGCGUAGAUAUUGGGAGGAACACCGGUGGCGAAGGCGGCUUCCUGGACAGACACUGACGCUGAGGCGCGAAAGCCAGGGGAGCGAACGGGAUUAGAUACCCCGGUAGUCCUGGCUGUAAACGAUGAACACUUGGUGUAGGGGGUGAUGAAGUCCCUCUUGUGCCGGAGAGAACUCGUUAAGUGUUCCGCCUGGGGAGUACGGCCGCAAGGCUGAAACUCAAAGGAAUUGACGGGGGCCCGCACAAGCGGUGGAGCAUGUGGUUUAAUUCGACGCAACGCGAAGAACCUUACCGGGGUUUGAACUGCACCUGAACGACCUAAGAUGGGGAGGUCCUUUCGGGACAGUGUA